AACUUUUGACAAUGGAUCUCUUGGCUCUCGCAUCGAUGAAGAACGCAGCGAAAUGCGAUAAGUAAUGUGAAUUGCAGAAUUCAGCGAAUCAUCGAAUCUUUGAACGCACCUUGCGCUCCUUGGUAUUCCGAGGAGCAUGCCUGUUUGAGUGUCAUUAAUAUAUAUAUAUCAACCCUCUUUUGUUGAGUGGUUUGGAUGUGAGGGUUUGCUGGAUUCUUUUUCAGCUCCCUUGAAAUGCAUUAGCAGAACAACCUUGUUCAUUGGUGUGAUAACUAUCUACACUAUUGAAUGCAAUGGCCAGUUCAGCUUUCUAACCGUCCUUGGACAAUUUAUCAUUAAUGUGACCUCAAAUCAGGUAGGACUACCCGCUGAACUUAAGCAUAUCAAUAAGCGGAGGCU
rnacentral:misc_RNA from 1 species